rnacentral:tRNA from 1 species
GGGCCGUUAGCUCAAUUGGAUAGAGCACCCGCCUUCUAAGCGGGAGGCUUGCGAGUUCGAGCCUCGCACGGCCCG